GGGCGGAUAGCUCAGCGGCAGAGCGUCGCCCUUACAAGGCGAGGGUCACAGGUUCAAUCCCUGUUCCGCCCA
rfam:Myxococcus stipitatus DSM 14675, complete genome.